rnacentral:rRNA from 2 species
GACAGAGGUGGCAAGCGUUGUUCGGAUUUACUGGGCGUAAAGGGUGCGUAGGUGGUUAGGUAAGACCUGUGGGAAAGACCUGGGCUUAACCCAGGAAGGUCGCAGGUGACUGCCUAGCUAGAGGGCGGGAGAGGAGCGCGGAAUUCCCGGUGUAGCGGUGAAAUGCGUAGAGAUCGGGAGGAAGGCCGGUGGCGAAGGCGGCGCUCUGGAACGUUCCUGACACUGAGGCACGAAAGCGUGGGGAG